UGAGCAAUCUGCCCUUCUCAUCGGAAUAAGAGUUGGAAACGACGUCUAAUGCCGAAUACGACCUCCUUUCGCAUGAUCGGAGGUGGAAAGCUCCGGCGGAGAAGGAUGAGCUCGCGGCCUAUCAGCUAGUUGGUGUGGGUAAUGGCCCACCAAGGCGACGACGGGUAGCCGGCCUGAGGAGGGUGACCGGCCACACGUGGGACUGAGACACGGCCCAGACCUCCGUACGGGANCCAG
rnacentral:rRNA from 1 species